rnacentral:rRNA from 1 species
UACGAAGGGUGCAAGCGUUAAUCGGAAUUACUGGGCGUAAAGCGUGCGUAGGCGGUUCGUUAAGUCUGUUGUGAAAGCCCUGGGCUCAACCUGGGAAUGGCAAUGGAAACUGGCGAGCUAGAGUCAGGUAGAGGGUGGUGGAAUUCCCGGUGUAGCGGUGAAAUGCGUAGAGAUCGGGAGGAACAUCUGUGGCGAAGGCGGCCACCUGGACCAUGACUGACGCUGAGGCACGAAAGCGUGGGGAGCAAACAGG